rnacentral:rRNA from 1 species
AUGAAAAUAAAGUUCGGUGAAGCUGAUCAGCAGAAAGAAAUCACAAUAACAAAGGAAGGCAUCCACAAGGUGUUUGGAUACCCAAACGGUACGGAAAAGACAGCACCAAGGCCAAAGAUUUCCACCGAGACAAUGACCGAACUGGUCACAGAACUUGGCCUCAAGAAAAUGGGUUUCCAUCACGACGAUCUGUUUAAAGAACUAGAAAAAUUGGUGAAACAAGAUGACGAACAAUCAAACAGGAAAUCAGUUAAAAUAUUUUUCCUUAUUUUUUUCCACAACGUUGUCUAUGGAACAACCUCCCCUACCUUCAGCAAACAAGCCAGUAUGGUCAAGGACUUGGACUAUCCAGAAAUGGCAAAGAUGGAUUUCUGCCAGGUAAUCAUCGAAAGUAUUAGGGAAGGAGCAAAGACAUGGAAGAAGCACAGGUUGUUGCCCCAGGAAGAAAAGAACAAAAAGCAUCUCAAUGGUUUGGCGCAGGGACUAGUAAUAAUGUACCUCGACUGCCUGCUGCUGCCGACCGACACAAAACAAAUGUGGAAGAUUGCCAAGAUAAUGAACAAGACAUUGUUACCGUGA